ensembl:lncRNA
CAUUCCAAGCCUAGGUUUCACCACUGCUUUUUGCAUCACUGGCAGCAUAACCCUCUUGCAGAUUGAAUGAUCCCAUCUACAGCUCCUUUCUGCUUCUGAGGACCCAUACAGGACUGCAACAUCAACAUCUAGAGCAGAACAGUGAGGAUCACGGCUUGGAAUACAGCAACAGCAAAAGGAUACAGAAAAGAGAAGAAACGGGAAAGCAAAUUAUCUGGGCAGGGCUCAUUGCCUGCAGCUCCUGUCAUCUGCCCCACCAGCAGCAGAAGUGUGGUGCCCACAUAUAAACACUGAGGAGACCUCUCCAUUUGAGUACCUCCACACUGUACUUUCCAGGACAAUAG